CUACGGGAGGCAGCAGUGAGGAAUAUUGGUCAAUGGGCGCAAGCCUGAACCAGCCAUCCCGCGUGAAGGAAGAAGGCGCUAUGCGUCGUAAACUUCUUUUUCAGGUCAAGAAUGUUGUCUACGUGUAGACAAUUGACGGUAACCUGUGAAUAAGCAUCGGCUAACUCCGUGCCAGCAGCCGCGGUAAUACGGAGGAUGCGAGCGUUAUCCGGAUUUAUUGGGUUUAAAGGGUGCGUAGGCGGACUGGUAAGUCAGUGGUGAAAUACUGCAGCUUAACUGUAGAAUUGCCGUUGAUACUGUCAGUCUUGAGUAUGGUUAAGGUAGGCGGAAUGUGUAAUGUAGCGGUGAAAUGCUUAGAUAUUACACAGAACACCGAUUGCGAAGGCAGCUUACUGAACCAUAACUGACGCUGAGGCACGAAAGCGUGGGGAGCGAACAGGAUUAGAUACCCUAGUAGUCA
rnacentral:rRNA from 1 species